CAGGUGACGUUCCGCACGAGGAUCUACCACUGCAACAUCAACAGCCAGGGCGUGAUCUGCCUGGACAUCCUGAAGGACAACUGGAGUCCCCGCCCUCACCAUCUCCAAGGUGCUGCUGUCCAUCUGCUCCCUGCUCACUGACUGCAACCCGGCCGACCCGCUGGUGGGGAGCAUCGCCACGCAGUACCUGACCAACAGGGCGGAGCACGACAGGAUAGCCAAACAGUGGACCAAGCGCUACGCCACAUAGAGCGCCGGCAGCGGCAGCGGCAGCAGCCCUCCAGGACCCCUCGCUCGACCCAACACACACACACACACACAGGUCCUCCCAAAAUCAAUGGAAGCACACCCGCUCCUGUCAUCCCCCCCACACCCCCCCCCCUCCCCUCCUCUACCCAAACCCCCCCCCCCCCACCCCCCCCGCCCUCAGAGAAACGAACUGUUAUUUGUUCCAUGCUGACUUGAAAAGCUUCUUUUUUAUACAAAGAGUCUAUUGGGAUUGUAUUUUCCAAUACACUGAAUGUUGAUAUGGUCAUGAAAAGCUUUAAUACUGUUGUUGUUCUCGUCGUCGUUCUUAUUGUUGUUGCAUUGUUUAUAACAUUGUCGCCACCCUCGUCGUCUUCUCAUCUAAAAGCGUGCGUGUGCUACUCCCGUUUUCCAUGUGACGGUUUCAUGUAAGAGGAUCACACCGAGUGAGUGCAUUUGUUUUUUUUUCUCCAUUCAGUGGGUUUUUACAGCUAACGGUCAAUAUUAGUGCAUGGCACCAGGGUGUGUGUUCAGGCGGUGGACGUGUGGUCACGUUGUGUAUUAUUUCUGGCAUGGAGUGAGCCCAUCACCAUGUAUGACGAUAGUGGUAGUUUUUGCUGUACAUUUAAUGCCUUGUGAGAAUACAUACUCAUUGAAUACUCAAUUAAACACUGGCUGUAAUGUGA